rnacentral:rRNA from 1 species
AUUGAACGCUGGCGGCAGGCCUAACACACACAAGUCGAGCGGAUGAAGGGAGCUUGCUCCUGGAUUCAGCGGCGGACGGGUGAGUAAUGCCUAGGAAUCUGCCUGGUAGUGGGGGACAACGUUUCGAAAGGAACGCUAAUACCGCAUACGUCCUACGGGAGAAAGCAGGGGACCUUCGGGCCUUGCGCUAUCAGAUGAGCUUAGGUCGGAUUAGCUAGUUGGUGAGGUAAUGGCUCACCAAGGCGACGAUCCGUAACUGGUCUGAGAGGAUGAUCAGUAACACUGGAACUGAGACACGGUACAGACUCCUACGGGAGGCAGCAGUGGGGAAUAUUGGACAAUGGGCGAAAGCCUGAUCCAGCCAUGCCGCGUGUGUGAAGAAGGUCUUCGGAUUGUAAAGCACUUUAAGUUGGGAGGAAGGGUUGUAGAUUAAUACUCUGCAAUUUUGACGUUACCGACAGAAUAAGCACCGGCUAACUCUGUGCCAGCAGCCGCAGUAAAAC